GGACAACGAGAAUUCCCCUGUCUCUAUAAAGCCAAUGAAAAUUAAUCUUCAGGUGAAGAAGCCUGAAUCUCAUUAAAAGACAAAAAGACCCUAUUGAGCUUACAUUCAAUCUCUAAAAUAUUAAAAUAAAAUAAAACUACCCUUUUUACAAGAAUUUUGCUGGGGCGGCAAAGGAACAACCAAAAAUUCCUUUUCUCAAAGACUUAUAAGUCUAUUAACUGAUCCGUAUUAACGAUUAACAAAACUAGUUACCAUAGGGAUAACAGGCUAAUUUUUCUCUAAAGCUCACAUUAACAGAAAAGAUUGGCACCUCGAUGUUGGCUUAGGAUAUCCUAAGGGCGCAGAAGCCUUUUAAGGUGGGUUUGUUC
rnacentral:rRNA from 1 species